rnacentral:rRNA from 1 species
UACGUAGGGGGCAAGCGUUGUCCGGAUUUAUUGGGCGUAAAGAGCGUGUAGGCGGUUUGGUAGGUCCGUUGUGAAAACUCGAGGCUCAACCUCGAGACGCCGAUGGAAACCAUCAGACUAGAGUCCGGAAGAGGAGACUGGAAUUCCUGGUGUAGCGGUGAAAUGCGCAGAUAUCGGGAAGAACACCCGUGGCAAAGGCGGCUCUCUGGGACGGUACUGACGCUGAGGAGCGAAAGCGUGGGGAGCAAACAGG